rnacentral:rRNA from 1 species
CCUACGGGAGGCAGCAGUGAGGAAUAUUGGUCAAUGGGCGUAAGCCUGAACCAGCCAAGUCGCGUGAGGGAUGAAGGUUCUAUGGAUCGUAAACCUCUUUUAUAAGGGAAUAAAGUGUGGGACGUGUCCUGUUUUGUAUGUACCUUAUGAAUACGGAUCGGCUAACUCCUUGCCAGCAGCCGCGGUAAUACGGAGGAUCCGAGCGUUAUCCGGAUUUAUUGGGUUUAAAGGGUGCGUAGGCGGCCUUUUAAGUCAGCGGUGAAAGUCUGUGGCUCAACCAUAGAAUUGCCGUUGAAACUGGGAGGCUUGAGUAUGUUUGAGGAAGGCGGAAUGCGUGGGGUAGCGGUGAAAUGCUUAGAUAUCACGCAGAACCCCGAUUGCGAAGGCAGCCUGCCAAGCCAUGACUGACGCUGAUGCACGAAAGCGUGGGGAUCAAACAGGAUUAGAUACCCUAGUAGUC